CAUGAGGUGGGUUGUUUGUUACGGUUAUCACCAUCUUCGAGGGCUGUUACUGUGUUGGCAGACAACUAAAGCGCCCUGACGGAAGUUCCGCGAUAGCACUUUCACUUUAGGCUUUGGUGACUGGCGUCUGUGGUGUGGCGUUUGACGCUUCGCUCUCACUCGCACAAGACACGCGUUCCGUUCCCGUGUGGGGAGAAUGUUUAUUCCAUAUUCCGAUCCAGUCUUUGUGCAUUGACGUUGUAUUCCUUUCGACCCUGGUUGUCUCUGACAGGCAGGGUGGGAUCCCAGGCUAAAUGGCCUGCAUUGUGUCGACGGGGGGCGGAAGGAAACACCUAUACAUGAAUCCCACAACAUUCAGCAGACGAGCAUCCGUCUGAAGCACAAAUAGUGACCAGGACAUGAACGACAAAGACUUAGUUCAAGAAAACGAGAAAGUAAUGCGAUGUAGUACACGUUUUAGGCCUACUACAACACCAAAUACGUUUGCCUCGAAAAACAAACAUAAUAAAUACUAAUUUGCAUUCUCCAUUCUCACCUAC